rnacentral:lncRNA from 1 species
GAAAACUGUUAAUAGCACGUUAAUUUAGACUUUUAGAAUAUAUCCUGUCACCUUCGACAGUUUUAUCAACCUACUCUAGAACUUCUGAUCCCUCUCUCUCUACAGCUUUAAGGAAAAAAAGCUCCCCAUCUUUGGGGAAGGGAGGAAUGCCCCUUUUACAGCUCCGUUCAAUAUAGGCAUCCAAAUCACUAUCCUCCUUGGCCCCAUGGGGACAGGGAAAUCUGCACAUAGAGGUGGUCAAAAAUGCCAAAUACCAUGGGGCAGAUCUACAAUAGCAUGCAGGAGAGCAGCGAAAAAAAAGGAGCCCUGAGCCCUGGGGGUGCUUGUCAGAGCCAACAGGUAUUUGAAGGAAGAGGCAACACUGUUCUGGGGCAAGGAGUCAAAGUGGGAUUACUUCCUAGUAACAACUGUCUCCUGCAGGCUAGCCUCUUCCACCUCCUCCUUCCACCACCUCUCACACUUCUGGCUGUGGAAAUAACAUCAUUUCUUGGCUGUGAUCUCCAACAUACCUAUCUUAAACUGCUUGGUUUGGGUGCCCAUAGGGGAGAAAAAGUACCUGAAUUCAACUGGUAGGGUCUGUUAGCUUACAAGUAGGAUAAAAUUCACAGAUGUGAAAGUUGUGGUAAUGAAAAUUGGAUCCUGACCAACAUGGUUUUCUAGAAGAGAAAGGACAAAGGCCUUUCACGGGCUGGUUUAGGGGAUAAUUGCAUGGGAAAGGAAAAUUAAAAUGACCUGUGGAUGGAGCCUCUAAACAUUUAAUGUACUGCUGUUUUAUGGCUUUAGCAUCAAAGUGUGUUGUUAAUACCAAUAUACAUUUAAUUGAACUAGGAAAGUUUAUAAGUCUCCCAUUCAGGGACUACUGCAGUAUAGAGAGAUGUAGUCUAAAAGAAACAACAUACAACCGCAAGAGGAAAAGAAAUAAAAGCACAGGUUUAGUUGAAAACUUAGUUACUCCUGUAGUACUCAGGCCAUUUUCCAUUAUAACCAGCUAUGUGGACUUUGCAGUCACCAAGGUGAAAUAUCCUGAGUACUCCAAGAGUGACCUUUAAAAAGAUAGGCACCUCUUAGGCUGCUACUGAGCUCUUGAGGAAACAACAGCGGCCAGAGGAGCUUCCUGAAAGCGUAACUGAUUCAUUUAUGCAUACUGCAGGCAGUUAUCACUAUCCUGAGAGUCAUCCUAUUGGAAAUGUUGAUAAGGAAUUUGUUCUUGACUUUAGCUGCAGUCAUCAGUGACACCACCUCAGCUCUGGAUGGCACUUAAGUCAGCCUCAAUUCAUUGGCCAGGGUGGUUAUGGGUGAUAGAAUUGCUCUUCCUCUUUGUGGGCCAAAUUGGAGUCAGUGCAAUCACUAAUACAUCCCACUGUGACUGGAUUAAUGUCUCAGACCGAGUACAGGGUCAAUACAGAAACUUGAGAAUGCCACUUGGCUUUCUAAGGUAGAUCCUGAUGGUUUAUGAUUGUUGGUUUUUUUUUCCUACCUUGUUGGAUACAGGCCCUUGGAUAUGGCUGAAGUCAGUACUGAUUGGUCUUAUCCUGUUACAUAGAGUUCUGUUGAUAGUACCUUUAAUUAAAUGUAAUAAAAUACUUUG